AGAUCAUCACGAGCGGCCGAGAGACUGGCUCUUUGACGCCGCAGCAACCGUGGACGUGUCCACAAGGUGCUAAUGCCAGACCGAUGACGA
rnacentral:ncRNA from 2 species